UUGUCUUGCAUGCUCUCGGUGAGUCCGGGAGCCUCCAGUAUGGUGCGAGGGACCAGAUCCUUCACCACAUUUCUCAGUUAGUCGAUUUUUGGAAUAUUGUGCAGAUUUAGCCUUAAAAUCCUCAGUAUCAUAGUGAGGCUUCCAGCUCUCCCAAAUAGAUUUUGGGAUAUUUUUUCGUUUCUCCUCAGAGGAUCUUGCUUCACAUAACAUACCCCUGUAUUGUAUUGAACAUUUUUUCAUAAAAUGAUCCUUUAUGGAACCUUCAGUUGUAAUAUUCCAAUGGAAUCGCUUAUGUUUAAGAAUAUAGAGAAAAAUAUCACAUAAAUUGAUAUAACAUAAAUUCUAAAUGAAUAUAAUACAUUAAUAAAAUGAUAGCAAAAUGGAAUUUAUGGGUAUAAUGAGUACAUGAAUAUUAUAUUAGAAGGAGACACAAUCAGGUAUCGAAAGGUGUACCAAAAAAAGUAUCAUAGGUGUUGAAAAAAGCUUGGAAAGGAGGGAAGUAUAUUGAAGAAGCUCGAAUGAACAUGGAUGAACUAGGAAAGGAUGGAUGCAUCUUAUCAAAAUGCUUCCAUGCAGGUGCUUCUGAACAGUGACGCAUCACACCUUCCUCAACUUCAUGUUCAGCGUGCCAUCGCAUGUGUGAAGCAGUUGCUGUGGAAGCAUACAUUCGUUGCAGUCGUGGAGUAAGAGGAAAGUAAUACAUCUGUUUGAAUGGUACAAGAUUUUUCUUCUGAAUAGAUCUUUGACUUGUAAGCUUAUACCUGGGAUGACUACAAAACUUGCAAUUUACAAGUUCACUAUCCUCUCCCCAGUAAAUCAUGCAGGCAUUGACACAAGUAUGAAUUUUUUCAACUGGCAUGUUCAUUCCCCUCAUUAACUUUUUAGUUUCAUAGAAAUUUUUUGGCAUCACAUUAUCAGGCGGAAUCAUCUCAUUCACAUAUUGACAAAUAUCAUCAAAACAUCUUUCAGAGAGGUGAUGUUCAGCCUUGAUAUGCAACAAACAAGCAACAACUGAUAAUUGAGAUGUACGGUUUUACUUUCGUAACAAAAUCAAUAGUUACAAAAAAAACCCAGGUAGUAUGGUUUACCUUAAACUCCUCCCAGUAGAAGUCCUUAAUCUCUGGUGUAACUGACUUCCNNNNNNNNNNNNNNNNNNNNNNNNNNNNNNNNNNNNNNNNNNCAUGAUCGCCCGAGAUACAUUGUUACUUGGCUCCAAACUUGUAUAUAUAUAUAACAAGUAAUUAUUUCAAUACUCAAUUUUAUUUAUAAACAUCAAGCAGUGUCUAGAGUGUAUUAUCAGUUUCUUUAGCGACAAUAUAAGAUCUUAAAGAGGUCGAGGCAGUAAGGAAGAAACAUAUGACACAUAUGAAAGUGUUAUCAAAGAGACAAGGAUUAGAUAUAAAUUAUAAAAUCCUGUCAUUAUCAUAUCUUGAAAUGACUAGCUGGGAGGAGCCGAUACUGAGCUCGGAUUCAAUACAUGAUUCAGAUCUAAGCUUAAUCUAGAACAAGUAAAAAAAAGUUCUAGUAUGAAAUCUAAUGAUAUACUGUAAAGAUAAGAAAAACUUCAGGGAAUGAGGACGGUUGAUAUCAAAGAAAUGUCACACCAUACACACCAAUAAAAGCAAAGUAAACAAUAAAUUUUCCACACAAUCUGAACAUGUAGGUCAAGAGAAAAAGUUCUGGGGAACUGCACAUGGGGAAUUCUGUUGCCCCAUUCUAUAAAUUCCUUACCAUAUGAUGUUGCCACAUUCAACUAUUGCUUCUUAUAUAAGAGAAGUGUAGACAUUAGUGAACAAGCUACUUUCUUCAAGAAUGAUUUUUUUGUAUUGAUUUAAAAAUACCUCAAUUUUUAAUUCAUUCCCCACUAAUACAAUUUAAGAAAAUCAACAAAACUUGUAAACAUUUAUAAAAAAAAGUAUGGAAGAAAUUCAACAAAUCUUAUUUUCUUGCAUGUAGAAAAACAAUGUAAACGAAACAAUAUUGUACACUUACCGUCCCAUGACGAUUUCAAUUGGGAUGCGGGUACCAUCAGUUGUAUUUGACGAAGUUGUAGAUACAAUGUCAUUCCUUGGUAUUUCGAUCCCCACAGAUGAAGAUGGUCCCGAUAUGUUGACUGCAACUGAAUCUGGCGUAACUGGUGUUGGCAGUUCAGGCAAUGAUGGUGCUUGAUCACGUGCGAAACUCGACAUUAGAGGAGAUGCCACUGGAUCUGCUGUCCUUUUUCCAGAAUAUCUACAACGUCCACCCCCCCGAGGUGCCAUAACCGCAAUUUCAAAGUUAAAUGUGGAUGAAGUAAUAUCAUAAUGAUUGAAUCAUGAUUGAUCAAAUUAUAACAAGAAUAGAUAGUUAGUUGAUAUAUCACUUCAAGAACAAGAUCCCUCUGAAAUUUAAGAAAAAACGUAGUUAAUCUAGUUAGCAGAUAAAUAUAUAAACACUUCUAUAAAUAAAAUAAUCUCAUCACUAUUCCAAACAUAGAUCUCGAAUCAUACUGGGAAUAGUUGUUCAAACAAAACAACCAGGAGAAUUAUUAAAACAAAAUAAGUAUACUGGUAAAAGAGACGAAAUAUAAAAUCAACUUAUAUACUACAUUUUAGUAACUCUAACUCCUAUAUUUGAAGAGAUUGGAGCACUUUGACUCUAUUCACUGCCACUUUCAUAGUACGCCUCUUCAUUCUCAUUUUCAUCAUCUGAUUCUGAUUCUAAUUCAUCAUGAAACUCUGUCUCAUCAUCUAAAUUAUCAUCCUCAUCUCUCAAGUUUAUGAAUUCGCCAUUUGGAUCAUUCCGGACAAUAGUUUCACUAUCGGACACUACAUCAAAUCUUAAACCAUCUUCAUCACAUUGGAAAGGCUCAACAACAUCUACUAGAGGGGACACUAAAGAUGAUGGAGACAUAUCCACAAUACCCCGAGCUUUUGUUUUGCACACAACCCACCAAUCACUCUUAUCACAUCAUAAGCUAGGAUAAGUAGCAUAAUACAUUUGAGCCGCUUGCAUUGCCAAAACAAAUGGUUCGUACUUCCUCAAUUUUCUUCUAUGAUUGAUAUCCACAAGUUUAUAUUGUGGGUGAAUCUUCAUUCCUACGUUUGGUGUGGGGUCAAACCAUUCACAUUUAAAUAAAACAGUUCUUUUGAUUGGUGUACUGCCCUUGUACUCCAAUUCAAGAAUUUCAGUAAGCACACCAUAGUAGUCAUUCUCAUCUGCACUAUAAUUUGUUCCUUUUAUGCAAACUCCACUGUUAUUAGAUGCUCUAGACAAACUGCGUCCUUUAGUGUGAAAUUUAAAGCCGUUGACAUUAUAACCAGUGUAUGGCUUCGCUGUCGACAUGGACCUUCUGCAAGCGCCUUGAUGAACUGAUUAUCUAUGUGGACUCGGGCCUAUCAAAUUAAAAAAUAUUAGAGUUUCUUAUAAGUAAAGUAAGUACAGAUGAAAAGAUAUUGUACAACUGCUCACAUAUCUUGUGAACCAUGAUGCAAAUUCUUCAUCAAGUUUUCUGUCCACUUCCUGCUCCGUAAUUUGUGGAAACAUUUGAUGAAGAGAGUCAAUAAAAUUCCUUUGGAUCACAUAAAAGAAAAAACUAUGUAAGAUUUUUUCUGAUAAUUUUAGUGUAUAAAUGAAAGCAAAAGUUUGAAAUCUUACUCCACAUAUGGCUGCACUUCUCUACAAUUUAGUAAAAUAUAAAUAUGAGCUGCUUUAAGUUCUUCUUCAGUAAGAUAUCUACGAUUUAGUUCCCCAAAUCCCCGACCUGGAUAGGUGAAUAUAGAAAGAUUAUCAUCGUAUCCAUCUUGUUCAUCCAUACCACCAUCGUCAUUCUGUGGCACUUUUCUAUGCCUUGUGUAAACAUGAGGCUCGAAGUAGUGUGAACAAAAUGAUGAAGCUUCCUCAACUAUAUGUGCGUUGCAUAUGCAUCCUUCGACAUGUGCCUUAUUUCGAACAUUAUAUUUAUAUUUUCGGAGAUUUCUGAAAAUAGCACAAAAGCUCAAGGCAUUAGUCACUCAUAAUGAUGAAAACAAAGUACUUAAAUAGUCAAGUCUAUUUUGGUGGUUAGGGACAGAUGAAAGAAAUUGUAUAUUAAGGGUUUUGCAUCCAAGCAUACAUGUUACAUCUGUUUUUGCAACCACAAAAGGUUAUUAAACUCAUCAAAACUGCGUGUAGGAAAUAUUUAUGAACAGGGGAAACCAAUAUUACUAAAAGGAAACUUGUAGUCUGGGACAAGGUGACUCUUCCUAAAGGUUCAAGAGGCUUGAAUAAUUAUUUAAAGACCUGGAAUCAAGCUGCAACAUGCAAACUGUUGUUGUUGUUGAGUCAGAACAAGGAAAAACUAUGGAUUAAUUGGGUCCAUAGACACUAUAUAAAUGACAGGAGACUACCAGAUCACAUAGAGUUUCCCGAUAUGCUUCUUGGAUGAUAAGAAAGAUGUUUCAUAUGUGAAAAUUCUGGCAGAUUAUCAAUUUAUAUAAACAAACAGAUCAUAAGGGGGGAGUAUAAAAUAUCAUAUACUUUAAACUUUAAGAGGUUUUUUGCAAAAGAAGUUCCUUAUAAAAAUCUUGUAUGUCAUAAUAUUUCAUGUUGUCAAGACUGACCUAUGCAACUAGUUAAGAAGAAGAAAAAGGUUAUUUGAGCUUUCAAGUUCUCUUUAAUUAGAUUAUAACUUUAUAUUAGAGAUAGUGAUUAGGAUUGGAAGGUUAUUUAGGCGUUGUCUGAGAAGGGAAGGUUGUUGGUUGGCUCCUCCCUAAGCUUUUUAUUGUCGCCUGGUGAUUAAUAAAAUAAGUUUAAUUGCAAAAGAAAUAAAGUACUUGAAUAUAUAAAUGAAGUCUUACCUCUCAAAUGGAUACAUCCAUCGAUAUUGUACCGGACCAGCUAUCAUUGCUUCGUAAGCGAGAUGCACAGGGAGAUGCUCCAUUGAGUCAAAGAAGCUAGGAGGGAAUACACGCUCUAAUUUACAAAGUAUUUCAGGUAUUUUUUGUUGUAGUCUUACCAUAUCCUCUUCACGAAUUACUGUAGAAGUGAUAUCCCUAAAGAAAAGGCUCAUCUCAGUAAGUGCUUCCCACACUUUUUUGGGUAAUAGCUCACGGAAUGCAACAGGUACCAAUCUUUGCAUAAAUACAUGACAAUCGUGACUUUUCAUACCGAAUAACUUGUGUUUUUUCAUUUCCACACACCUUCCCAUAUUCGAGACAUAUCCAUCAGGAAAUUUUAGAUUUUUCACCCAUUCACACAACAAUUUUUUUUACUCUUCUUUCAGUGUGUAAAUAGCUUUCGGAUACUUCCCAUCAACAGCAUGUAAUUCAGGGCGUCGACAGUAUUCACACAACAAUUUUUUUGACUCUUCUUUCAGUGUGUAAAUAGCUUUCGAAUACUUCCCAUCAACAGCAUGUAAUUCAGGGCGUCGACAGAACUCUUUCAAGUCUUCUCUUGAUUUGGGAUUAUCUUUUGUUUUACCAUUUACCUCCAGCACUGUGUUGAACACAUUCUCAAAGAAGUUCUUCUCAAUGUGCAUUACAUCUAGAUUAUGCCGAAUGAGAUUAGUACUCCAAUAUGGCAAAUCCUAGAAUAUGCUUCUCUUCUUCCAACCAGAAAACUUACUAAUCUGACGAUUAAUAAUAUCAGCCCCAAGUUCUGUUACCUUUUCAAGUCCUAGUUCUUCUAUCUCUUUUAAGACACCUUCUCCUGAUCGUAAUGGGGUAGGCGGCAUGGUUACUACCCUGUUCUUUCUAAAUGAGUUCUUAUCCUUUUUGUAUGGAUGAUUAAGUAGCAGAAACUUACGGUGGUUGUCAAACCAGGACUGCUUACCACCUUUUGUCAAAAUAAAAACAUCAGAAUUCUCCAUACAAUAUGGACAUGCUAGCCUGCCUGCAGUACUCCAUCCAGACAACAUCGAAUAUGCAGGAAAGUCACUUAUUGUCCACAUCAAAGCAGCUCGCAUUUGAAAAUUUUGAUUCUUAGAGAUAUCAUAUGUGUUGACACCUACAUUCCAUAGGUUCUUCAACUCAGCAAUCAAAGGCUGCAAGAAGACAUCUAGUUGCUGCUUAGGAUUCUUUGGUCCAGGAACUAUAACAAAUAAAAAUAAAUAUGGAUCUUUCAUACACUUCCAAGGAGGUAAGUUGUAUGGUGUCACAAUUAUUGGCCAAGAUGAAUAUUGCUUUCCUGUUUGACCAAAUGGCUGAAACCCAUUAGUGGACAGUCCCAAUCUAACAUUACGACUUUCCUCUGAAAAAGAUGGAUGCAUCUUAUCAAAAUGCUUCCAUGCAGGUGCAUCUGAACAGUGACGCAUCACACCUUCCUCAACUUCAUGUUCAGCGUGCCAUCGCAUGUGUGAAACAGUUGCUGUGGAAGCAUACAUUCGUUGCAGUCGUGGAGUAAGAGGAAAGUAAUACAUCUGUUUGAAUGGUACAAGAUUUUUCUUCUGAAUAGAUCUUUGACUUGUAAGCUUAUACCUGGGAUGACUACAAAACUUGCAAUUUACAAGUUCACUAUCCUCUCCCCAGUAAAUCAUGCAGGCAUUGACACAAGUAUGAAUUUUUUCAACUGGCAUGUUCAUUCCCCUCAUUAACUUUUUAGUUUCAUAGAAAUUUUUUGGCAUCACAGUAUCGGGCGGAAUCAUCUCAUUCACAUAUUGACAAAUAUCAUCAAAACAUCUUUCAGAGAGGUGAUGUUCAGCCUUGGUAUGCAACAAACGAGCAACAGCUGAUAAUUUUGAGUGUGUUUCACAACCAGGCCACACUUCUUGAUUUGCAGAAUCAAGCAUAUCAUUAAAAUGUUGGGCAUCAGGAUUAGGUAAUUCCUUCAUAUCAUCUGGAACAAAUGCGGGACCAGCAGCCUCAUGAACCAUUCUAUGAUAAGACGUACUAGGUCUAGGAUCAUCAAAUUCACUAACAUCAACCGGUAGGUUAUUCAUAGUAUGUUCCCAGUUGUGCAUUCUUUCAUCUUGAUCUAUAGUUUCCACAACUUCACUUUCUCCAUGCAAAUACCAUACAUGAUAUUCCGGUACAAAACCUUCUUUUAAUAAAUGCCCAUGGACAAUAUGAACAUUUUCAAAGUUUCUAUUCUGACAUUUCUUUCGGUUACAUGGGCACCUUAAUCUCUCACCAUCCCUUCCUUCUGGAUGACUCAUAGCAAACUCAAUAAAUUGUUGUACACCUCUUAGGAAUUCAGGAUCAUACAAACUUUUGGUUAAUCUUUUGUACAUCCAUUGACGAUUUGAACUCAUUUUACUUAUAAACUUCUUUUCUGAUAAUGUGAGAAGGGCAAAUAGUGAAAUAAAAGCUCACAGAGAAUUGAAAAGAAGAAAUUUGCAGUAUGACAGAAAAUGAAACAGAGAAGAAUGUUAUUUGUUUGAAAUUUAAACUGGAACUCUUUUUUACAGCAGGUAUGUAGGUUGUAUAUAUUAACUAAAUAAUAACCUUUUCUCCUAAAAUAACUCCAACAAAGUCCUAUUCAAAUAAAUAGCUAACUGAUAUCAUUCCUAAAUAUUGAAAACUGAAAUAUUUGACUCUGUCAACUUAAAAAAUCUUAAAACAGUAAAAGAAAACAUAUGUAGAUGCAACUAAUUUUAUAGCAUUGCAAUUAUAAAAUCUUUGAAUAGUUAAAAGGGUGCAAUUUAUAAUCAAGCUAGAAGGACAAAUAAUUCGACUCAAGCUUCUUUUCUUUCUUUUUUAGUAGGUUAGUUUAAUCAAAACUUCGUAAAACAUGUAACUCAACAUAUGAAGGUAAUGAGAAGUAUUAUGUUGUUAGCCCUAUUGAUUUAUAGCUUUUUCAGGUUGGGAGAAGAAACAUGCAAACCAACCUCACAACUAUCUUAAUUAGGCAAAUCCUCUUAUCAAGGGAAUUCAAAAACAAAUGUGUAUAUUCGCUCUUAUUUAUUCCAGCGAUAACUAAUCAACCACAUACUAUAUAAACACUAUAUACUAACCAAGCAAAUAAAGAAUGUCAGAAGAAUUACAAUUAAUCAAAUCAUACAAAAUAGGAAAAUAAAUAUGAUAAAGAAUACAUACUGUUUAGCCGAAAGGAUUGUGGAACUGAUAAUUCAAGUGUGGUAGAUGAAUUGUAGGUGACUAUAUUUGGAAUUUUUUUUACAUGAAGUGUGAACGUGGGCAACAUUUGGAGAAAGAAAAAAACUGAAUAAUGGCGCGAGUAUAGCUCUAUAUUUUUGGGAGGUGGAUUAUUUUAGCGGCAAUUUUUUUUAUUUGGACUAUUUUUACAAAAAAUAAGCAGAUUCUUAUAUUAUUUUCUUGAACUAUAAAAUACAAAUUGAGUCCAAAAGAAUUUUAACUAAUUUUUAAAGAUUGGAUAUGCCAUAAAAUCAUUUUAUUUAAUAUAAACAUAGAAAAUAAAAAAAAAGUGCAAAAAUUGGAACAAGCAUCGGAGUCUACACAAUACCUACCUCAGCACAAAACAAGCAACACAUGCAAUUAUUUGGACAAAAAGAGGAAACAAGCAACACAAACAAUAUUUUGUACAAAGAGAGGAUGAAAGGGUAAGAAGACAUAUGUUAGACGACACGCCAAUAUGGGUCUUUUUAGCAAAAAUUGAUGCAUCUGAUAGAGCUUGAGUUGAAAAUUUAGGUGAUUUACAGCUGAUGUGAAUUUUUCCUUCAUCUG
rnacentral:lncRNA from 1 species